rnacentral:rRNA from 1 species
UUCGCAAUGCCCGAAAGGGUGACGAAGCGACGCCGCGUGGGUGAGGAAGGCCUUCGGGUUGUAAAGCCCUGUCAGGAGUUAAGAAAUGUAAGUGUGCUAAUAUCGCAUUUACUUGACGAAGGCUCCAAAGGAAGUCACGGCUAACUCUGUGCCAGCAGCCGCGGUAAUACAGAGGUGGCAAGCGUUGUUCGGAAUUAUUGGGCGUAAAGAGCACGUAGGUGGGUUUGUAAGUCAGAUGUGAAAGCCUUCUGUUCAACGGAAGAAUUGCAUCUGAAACUGCGAGUCUUGAGUGUAGGAGGGGAGAAUGGAACUUCUGGUGGAGCGGUGAAAUGCGUAGAUAUCAGAAGGAACGCCGGCGGCGAAAGCGAUUCUCUGGCCUAUUACUGACACUCAGUGUGCGAAAGCUAGGGGAGCAAACGGGAUUAGAUACCCCGGUAGUCCUAGCUGUAAACGAUGGGCACUAAGUAGAGGGGUUUU